rnacentral:rRNA from 1 species
GGACGAACGCUGGCGGCGUGCCUAAUACAUGCAAGUCGAACGAGAGCGACCGGUGCUUGCACUGGUCAAUCUAGUGGCGAACGGGUGAGUAACACGUGGGUAACCUGCUCAUCCGAGGGGGAUAACAUCCGGAAACGGAUGCUAAAACCGCAUAGGUCUUCGAGCCGCAUGGCUUGAAGAGGAAAAGAGGCGCAAGCUUCUGCUGAUGGAUGGACCCGCGGUGCAUUAGCUAGUUGGUGAGGUAACGGCUCACCAAGGCCGUGAUGCAUAGCCGACCUGAGAGGGUGAUCGGCCACAUUGGGACUGAGACACGGCCCAAACUCCUACGGGAGGCAGCAGUAGGGAAUCUUCCGCAAAGGACGCAAGUCUGACGGAGCUACGCCGCGUGAGUGAAGAAGGUUUUCGGAUCGUAAAACUCUGUUGUUAGAGAAGAACAAGUGCUAGAGUAACUGUUAGCGCCUUGACGGUAUCUAACCAGAAAGCCACGGCUAACUACGUG